rfam:Strongylocentrotus purpuratus Contig141521_fixed, whole genome shotgun sequence.
GCUGUGAUGGCCGAGUGGUUAAGGCGUUGGACUUGAAAUCCAAUGGGAUCUUCCCGCGUAGGUUCGAUCCCUACUCGCAGCG